UCAAGCCUUGGCUGGGAAAUUUGGACUGACUUGGCCUUUGCUUCUCACAGCCUCUCACUUUCAGCAGGUUUGGCAGGGACUAUCCACAGAAUAGCCUGGGCAGAAGUUCAAGAAAGAGCAGAAACAUGCAUGGUCUCUUAAGGUCUGGGCUUGAAACUUAAAUUUUAACUAUGCUCCGCUUUUUGUUGUUGGUGGUGGUGUUUUUGUUUUUGUUUUUGCCAAAGUAAAUCUCAAGACUGGUCCUGAGUUAUGAGGGGAAAUAUACUCUUCCUCUCCACAGGAGGUGCUGUAAAGUCGCAUUGUGAAGCUUGUGGAUAGAGGGAGGCCACACCAUCAGUUACAGGAGAUCCUGACCUGCUCUAACACACAUCUUGGAAUCCGUUUUUCUGACUGCCGGAGCAACCCAGAAGCCCUUUCCUUCCCGCAGCUACAAGGCAGCUUCCGCAGGCGCAGGUAGCCGGCAUGGAGGGUGGCCUCCGGCACGCCGGUGCCAUGUCCCUGGCCCCUUGGGCCACUGGCCACGGGACAGUGAGGGGAUUGUCCCUCCCUACUGAAUAAUCAACAUUUGGGGCCCAUUAUUUUCCAUAAUUAUUGUAAUAUAACUCAAUAAAACUAAAUGCUUUAUUUGUG